rnacentral:rRNA from 1 species
GACGAACGCUGGCGGCGUGCUUAACACAUGCAAGUCGAACGGAAAGGCCCUGCUUUUGUGGGGUGCUCGAGUGGCGAACGGGUGAGUAACACGUGAGUAACCUGCCCUUGACUUUGGGAUAACUUCAGGAAACUGGGGCUAAUACCGGAUAGGAGCUCCUGCUGCAUGGUGGGGGUUGGAAAGUUUCGGCGGUUGGGGAUGGACUCGCGGCUUAUCAGCUUGUUGGUGGGGUAGUGGCUUACCAAGGCUUUGACGGGUAGCCGGCCUGAGAGGGUGACCGGCCACAUUGGGACUGAGAUACGGCCCAGACUCCUGCGGGAGGCAGCAGUGGGGAAUAUUGCACAAUGGGCGGAAGCCUGGUGCAGCAACGCCGCGUGCGGGAUGACGGCCUUCGGGUUGUAAACCGCUUUCGCCUGUGACGAAGCGUGAGUGACGGUAAUGGGUAAAGAAGCACCGGCUAACUACGUG